GCGGCAUGCCUUACACAUGCAAGUCGAACGGCAGCACGGGAGCAAUCCUGGUGGCGGAGUGGGCGAACGGGUGAGUAAUAUAUCGGAACGUGCCCAGGUCGUGGGGGAUAACGUAGCGAAAGCUACGCUAAUACCGCAUACGAUCUAUGGAUGAAAGCGGGGGAUCGCAAGACCUCGCGCGAUUGGAGCGGCCGAUAUCAGAUUAGGUAGUUGGUGAGGUAAAGGCUCACCAAGCCGACGAUCUGUAGCUGGUCUGAGAGGACGACCAGCCACACUGGGACUGAGACACGGCCCAGACUCCUACGGGAGGCAGCAGUGGGGAAUUUUGGACAAUGGGCGCAAGCCUGAUCCAGCAAUGCCGCGUGCAGGAUGAAGGCCUUCGGGUUGUAAACUGCUUUUGUACGGAACGAAACGGUGAGCUCUAAUACAGUUUGCUAAUGACGGUACCGUAAGAAUAAGCACCGGCUAACUACGUG
rnacentral:rRNA from 1 species